AUCUUGAGCAGAGAGGACAAUAGCUAAGCAAAAAUCACUUAUUAAUUGGUGCAAGAAUGGUAUAGACCAACAGGAAUGUGACAAUUACAAUUGCACCUGCUAGAGUA